rnacentral:rRNA from 1 species
AGCGAACGCUGGCGGCAGGCUUAACACAUGCAAGUCGAACGAACUCUUCGGAGUUAGUGGCGGAGGGGUGAGUAAGACGUGGGAACGUGCCUUUUGGUUCGGAAUAAUUCAGGGAAACUUGUGCUAAUACCGAAUGUGCCUUUCGGGGGAAGGAUUUAUUGCCAUUAGAGCGGCCCGCGUCUGAUUAGCUAGUUGGUGAGGUAACGGCUCACCAAGGCGACGAUCAGUAGCUGGUCUGAGAGGAUGACCAGCCACACUGGGACUGAGACACGGCCCAGACUCCUACGGGAAGCAGCAGUGGGGAAUCUAGCGCAAUGGGCGAAAGCCUGACGCAGCCAUGCCGCGUGAAUGAUGAAGGUCUUAGGAUUGUAAAAUUCUUUCACCCGGGACGAUAAUGACGGUACCCGGAGAAGAAGCCCCGGCUAACUUCGUG